GCGAGUUCUCUUGCACGUACGGCGAAAAACAAUUAUUCAGUCUCAGCAAUGCAGGAGUUCGCUGCAGUGGAACGCUUUUUGCUUGCGAGAAGGAAUUGUAAUUUGUUGGUUACAACUUUCGAGUCACGAAUCGACACACGGUUUCAGCCCAGAAACGAGCCAAACGCUGAUGUGGCAGGUGUUUCUUCCUUGGCAAGCUAAAGAGCAUCGGUUCUAUUCAGUGAGUGAGUCCCUGGCAUCACAGCCUCAUCGAACUACAGCCAAGGCACAGUGAAAAAUUUUCGUUGAAAAUUUCAGUUUAAAAACUUUUCACACUCCUUUCACUUAGCCACGAACUACUAACGGAACUUUCACAGCAGUUAAAUAAUUGCAGCGGCCAAGCCGUUCGACAGCAGCUUAGCUACAUCUGCGUUACAGAGACUGACGAAUUAUGGUUUUCACAGCACGUGCAAGGGGAACACCCCUAAGUAGUGAAGUACAGUCUGGACAAUGAACUUUGUUCCAGUUCACGUAACGAGGAGAGCAACACAUUCGUCGUGCGGAGAGCACGCCUGAAAACAAAAGUUCAGUAAGAUACCGCGUUUUCCGUUUCACACGUCCCCCACUACAGGAGUCUUAUUAUCCUAAGAUUUCGCCUUGAAAUGUCCCAGAAGUCCAACACAAGGUGGACAAACGGGGAAUUUCAUCGCCAGAGGCGACACUCUACCUCAUUGCUGAUGUGGGGAAUGAAAUAGUGAGCCCCUUCACAACAAGGAACCAAGUCCUACGGUGUCCGGAAAGUUCCAGUUUGAUAUGCAACGUUUAUUUGGACUCAUUCGGACUGUUCACAGGACAAAGCCGGUGCAAUGUUCAUCCAGGCCAUGCCCCCAAACUUGGAAAGCUGCGCAAAUACCAACCUACUGUGCCCUCUUCAGAGGAGACACCAAGCUCGAAUGCAACACCUGGUACAACAACGGGACAAUCUCAAGCUCCCCAGCAAAAGAAGAGGAGCCACUCCCCUCAACACAUAAGCGCAUAGCAAUGCUCCAGAGAAAAGUCAACCAAUACCGCAAGGCCUUGAACCGGAUAAAGUUGAAGGAACAACGGACCAACAUCACGAAACAAGAUGCACUUAUAGUAAUGAAACGGUUCAUCCCCCCAGAUGCGUACACACUGCUGUCUGCACGGAUACACCUUUCUGUGAAAAAACAUUGCAAGAGAUGGUCAGAAGACAUGAAAAAGUUCGCAAUGAAACUGUACUUUCAUAGCCCGAAGGCAUACAGUUUCAAGCUGUACUUUACAGCUUUUUACUUUACACUUUACAGCCUCCACACGUGAUUGGUGAAAUAAAAAAUGGAUUGAAUUCAUAGUACGUGUCAUGAAGGAGCCGUCUGUGCUGAGUAUUAGGAGGUAGCUCUCAAAUAUAAACACGAGUCCUGGAAUCAUCCCUGGUACCAUCCCCAUAGUAGCCAAGGCAACCAAAAACUAGACAAGGCGGACCCGAGCCUGUACUCUGAUGUUUGACGAAAUGUCCUUGACUCAAGUGUUCCAGUAUGAUAUCAAGAAAGAUGUGAGCCAUGGGAUAUGAAGAUGACAGAAAGAAAAGAACGGCCCGCGUUGGGGGCAAACGUUGCUGUCCGGGAUCUCCAGAGCGUGGGUGCAGCAUAUGCCAUAUCCCGCAACCGCGUGAGCCAGCGGACACCACUAAGAACCUUUUACAGGAGAUAAUUACAAAACUUGAAGCGGUGGACAUUUGGGUGAAGGCAGUUAUAUGUGACCAAGGUGCCAACAGCGUAUAUGUGGCAACACGGC